rnacentral:tRNA from 1 species
UCCCUGAUAGCUCAGUUGGUAAAGAAUCUGUCUGCAAUGCAGGAGACCCUGGUUCGAUCCCUGGGUCGGGAA